CCUACGGGGUGCAGCAGUGAGGAAUAUUGGUCAAUGGGCGUAAGCCUGAACCAGCCAAGUCGCGUGAGGGAUGAAGGUUCUAUGAAUCGUAAACCUCUUUUAUAAGGGAAUAAAGUGCGGGACGUGUCCCGUUUUGUAUGUACCUUAUGAAUAAGGAUCGGCUAACUCCGUGCCAGCAGCCGCGGUAAUACGGAGGAUCCGAGCGUUAUCCGGAUUUAUUGGGUUUAAAGGGUGCGUAGGCGGCCUUUUAAGUCAGCGGUGAAAGUCUGUGGCUCAACCAUAGAAUUGCCGUUGAAACUGGGAUGCUUGAGUAUGUUUGAGGCAGGCGGAAUGCGUGGUGUAGCGGUGAAAUGCUUAGAUAUCACGCAGAACCCCGAGUGCGAAGGCAGCCUACCAAGCCAUGACUGACGCUGAUGCACGAAAGCGUGGGUAUCAAUCAGGAUUAGAUACCCUUGUAGUC
rnacentral:rRNA from 1 species